GAUGAAGAACGCAGCGAAAUGCGAUAAGUAAUGUGAAUUGCAGAAUUCAGUGAAUCAUCGAAUCUUUGAACGCACAUUGCGCCCCUUGGUAUUCCGAGGGGCAUGCCUGUUCGAGCGUCAUUAUAACCCCUCAAGCUCAGCUUGGUGUUGGGGCCUGCUGCAGUGGCAGCCCUUAAAAUCAGUGGCGGCGCCAUCUGGCUCUAAGCGUAGUAAUUCUUCUCGCUAUGGAGUCCUGGUGGAUGCUUGCCAUCAACCCCCAAUUUUUCUAUGGUUGACCUCGGAUCAGGUAGGGAUACCCGCUGAACUUAAGCAUAUCAAUAAGCGGAGGA
rnacentral:misc_RNA from 1 species